ensembl:misc_RNA
AUAGUGUGACAGGUUUCAGCGAAAAGGGGGUCCUCCUCGGAAUGAAUGAAAGGUCCCUUUCCCGUCCCA